rnacentral:rRNA from 1 species
GUGGGGAAUUUUGGACAAUGGGCGCAAGCCUGAUCCAGCAAUGCCGCGUGCAGGAAGAAGGCCUUCGGGUUGUAAACUGCUUUUGUCAGGGAAGAAAUCUUCUGGGCUAAUACCCCGGGAGGAUGACGGUACCUGAAGAAUAAGCACCGGCUAACUACGUGCCAGCAGCCGCGGUAAUACGUAGGGUGCGAGCGUUAAUCGGAAUUACUGGGCGUAAAGCGUGCGCAGGCGGCUUUGCAAGACAGAUGUGAAAUCCCCGGGCUCAACCUGGGAACUGCAUUUGUGACUGCAAGGCUAGAGUACGGCAGAGGGGGAUGGAAUUCCGCGUGUAGCAGUGAAAUGCGUAGAUAUGCGGAGGAACACCAAUGGCGAAGGCAAUCCCCUGGGCCUGUACUGACGCUCAUGCACGAAAGCGUGGGGAGCAAACAGGAUUAGAUACCCGGGUAGUCC